AUGGGCAAGUCCUUGCCCCACUGGGGGUUCCAGUCCCCUCCCUCGUCGAAGGGAUUCCAAAGCAGUGAAUUCGCACGGACGAAAUGGAGCCCAGAGAGGGAAAGGGCCUUGCCCAAGGUCACACAGCGGGUCAGGUUCCGAGUGGGACCCCACCCCCACCCCCUGCAGGAGCCAUUCCCGGGCCUGGAUCUCGGCCCCCCUUCAUCCCCCUCCUGUCUUUCGCUGGGUCUCUGCCUCCGUCACCGUGUCCCCGUGUGCCCUGCUUGGACUCUCUGGGCUCCUCUCUACCCAUCUCAGGGUCUCCCCAGCCCUGCCCCCAGCUCUCUGUGUGUGCUUGUCUUUUAUCUCCUUUUCUGUGCUCUUCGCAUAACUUCGUUUCUGUAUCUCUCAUUGGCCCUCCUUUUCUUUUGUGUGUUUUUGUUUUUUGUCUUUUUUUUUUUUUUUUUUAAGGCCACACCUGCAGCAUAUGGAGGUUCCCAGGCCAGGGGUCGAAUCAGAGCUGCAGCUGCUGACCUGUGCCUCAGCGAGGCCAGGGAUCAAACCCACGUCCUCAUGGAUGUUAGUCGGUUUUGUAACCCACUGAACCACAACAGGAACCCCCUGUCCCUCCUUUUCUAUGUCUCUGUCUCUCUUGUCUCUUCAUCUCUGUCUCCCCGUGUCCUCCCCUGGUAUCUCUGUGUCUCUGUGUGUCUCUCUCUUUCCAUCUCGGUCCUGAACCCCCUGCCCCGUGUGUGUGUGUGUGUGUGUGUGUGUGUGUCUCGCUCCAUGACUCUCACUCUGCCUGGCUGCCCUGUCUCCCCCUGGCUCUCACCCCCCAAAAACAACCACUCUCUUUUCUCUCCCCCUCCCCCAGGACCUGCUGAAUCCGGACCCUGCCCCUUACUGCCAGCUGGUGCCAGCCCCCUGAAGGGGUCCCAGGCCAGACCAGUCAGGGCAGGGGGAAACCUCAGCCCUCCCCGGGGACCAUGCACCUGCAGAGAAGCCACACCAGAGACCCAGCAGGACCAGGCCGUCGGGGCUGUGGGCUGA
rnacentral:lncRNA from 1 species